GAUGAACGCUGGCGGUAUGCUUAACACAUGCAAGUCGAACGGACUCUUCGGAGUUAGUGGCGGACGGGUGAGUAACGCGUGAGAAUCUGGCUUUGGGUUCGGGACAACCACUGGAAACGGUGGCUAAUACCGGAUGUGCCGAGAGGUAAAAGAGAAAUUGCCUGAAGAUGAGCUCGCGUCCGAUUAGCUAGUUGGUGAGGUAAAGGCUCACCAAGGCAGCGAUCAGUAGCUGGUCUGAGAGGAUGACCAGCCACACUGGGACUGAGACACGGCCCAGACUCCUACGGGAGGCAGCAGUGGGGAAUUUUCCGCAAUGGGCGAAAGCCUGACGGAGCAAUACCGCGUGAGGGAAGAAGGCUCUUGGGUUGUAAACCUCUUUUCUUAGGGAAGAACAAAAUGACGGUACCUAAGGAAUCAGCAUCGGCUAACUCCGUG
rnacentral:rRNA from 1 species